UAUGUGAUCGUCUCUCGCAUAUCAAUAAGCGGAGGAAAAGAAACUAACAAGGAUUCCCCUAGUAACAGGCGAGUGAAGCGGGAAGAGCUCAAAUUUGAAAUCUUAAAGGGUUUCCCUUUACGAAUUGUAGUUUAAAGAAGUGUUUUCUGUUGAGGUUUUGGUAAAAGUUCUUUGGAAUAGGACAUCAUAGAGGGUGAGAAUCCCGUAUUUGACCUUUACUUUCAACUUUGUGAUACACUUUCAAAGAGUCGGAUUGUUUGGGAAUGCAGUCCAAAAUGGGUGGUAAAUUUCAUCUAAAGCUAAAUAUUGGCGAGAGACCGAUAGCGAACAAGUACCGUGAGGGAAAGAUGAAAAGAACUUUGAAAAGAGAGUUAAACAGUACGUGAAAUUGUCAAAAGGGAAGCGUUUGACACCAGUGUUGUUUUUCUGAAAAUCAAUUAAAGAACUGUUUAUGCUAAGUUGUUUAGACUUUAUCAGCUAACUGUUUAGUUUUGAGCUUUUCUUUAAUGCACUUUUCAGUUAACAAGUCAACAUCAAUUUCUUUUGCUGUAAAAAAGCUUGAGGAAGGUGGCUUGAGAUUCGUCUUAAGUGUUUAUAGCCUCUUGCCUACUGCAGUCGGAGAGAUUGAGGUCUGCAGCAUAGAUCCUUCGGGGCUAAAUGCAUUUGUGCUAAGUUAUAACAUUUUAUAGACAACUUGUUGACUAUGAUUUGUCUUGUAGCUUACUCGCUUAUGUUAUUUUACCUACGCUUAGGAUGUUGAAGUCAUCGUAUCGCGC
rnacentral:rRNA from 1 species